rnacentral:rRNA from 1 species
AUUGAACGCUGGCGGCAUGCCUUACACAUGCAAGUCGAACGGUAACAGGUCUUCGGAUGCUGACGAGUGGCGAACGGGUGAGUAAUACAUCGGAACGUGCCUAGUAGUGGGGGAUAACUACUCGAAAGAGUGGCUAAUACCGCAUGAGAUCUACGGAUGAAAGCAGGGGAUCGCAAGACCUUGUGCUACUAGAGCGGCCGAUGGCAGAUUAGGUAGUUGGUGGGAUAAAAGCUUACCAAGCCGACGAUCUGUAGCUGGUCUGAGAGGACGAUCAGCCACACUGGGACUGAGACACGGCCCAGACUCCUACGGGAGGCAGCAGUGGGGAAUUUUGGACAAUGGGCGCAAGCCUGAUCCAGCAAUGCCGCGUGCAGGAUGAAGGCCUUCGGGUUGUAAACUGCUUUUGUACGGAACGAAAAGCCCUGGGUUAAUACCCUGGGGUCACGACGGUACUGUAGGAAUAAGCACCGGCUAACUACGUGCCAGCCGCCGCUGUAA